rnacentral:rRNA from 1 species
UACGUAGGGGGCAAGCGUUGUCCGGAUUUAUUGGGCGUAAAGAGCGUGUAGGCGGCUAGGUAGGUCCGUUGUGAAAACUCGAGGCUCAACCUCGAGACGUCGAUGGAAACCAUCUAGCUAGAGUCCGGAAGAGGAGAGUGGAAUUCCUGGUGUAGCGGUGAAAUGCGCAGAUAUCAGGAAGAACACCCGUGGCGAAGGCGGCUCUCUGGUACGUGACUGACGCUGAGGAACGAAAGCUAGGGGAGCGAACGGG